UACGUAGGGUGCAAGCGUUAAUCGGAAUUACUGGGCGUAAAGCGCGCGCAGGCGGCGAUCUACGUCUGGGGUGAAAGCCCGGAGCUCAACUCCGGGACUGCCUUGGAUACGGGAUCGCUUGAGAAUUGGAGAGGCAAGGGGAAUUCCACGUGUAGCGGUGAAAUGCGUAGAUAUGUGGAGGAACACCUGUGGCGAAGGCGCCUUGCUGGCCAAUUUCUGACGCUGAGGCGCGAAAGCGUGGGGAGCAAACAGG
rnacentral:rRNA from 1 species